rnacentral:misc_RNA from 1 species
CAGCUGCGUGAAUUAAUGUGAAUUGCAGGACACAUUGAACAUCGAUAUCUUGAACGCAUAUUGCGGCCUCGGGCAUUCCCGAGGCCACGCCUGUCUCAGGGUCGGUUGAAAGUCAAUCGCGAUGCCUUACCAACGUAGACUGCGUCGGUGACGGGAUCGCGCCUUGGGCGUCAAAGAAACGAGAGUUCCGUCCGUCGACCGUCGUCGGUUGGUGGACGUCUCUCGUCUUUGUCGCCUUAAGAACCGUUCGUUGCUCGUCGUUAACUCUAGCCUCGUUGACGCCCGGACGACAAAUCUACUCUAUGCCGAUGAGCAGCCAAGUCGUCUUCGGCUCAGCGACUGUGUUAAAGUCGAACGUUGUAGCAACCGCGUAAUCAUCGACUAUUCGACCUGAGAUCAG